UUUUCCCUCCUGGAGCCUGUGCGUGUUUUAUGUUUUAAUAACUUUAUCAACUCAGUGAACUUGCGCGGGAGCACCAGCAGCUUCUCUCGCCUCCCUCCUUUUCCCCCCUGUCUCUAACUGGCCUCUGGGUCACUUCCAAAAGGGGCUUCCUUCCAAUUCUCCUCGUUAUGGCUUCACCGUUGGCUGGCGUGGUCAAUACGGCCGGCAGACUUAACCCAACUUACAGAUACCCUGCACAUUUUGCAAGUUCUCUUUGUGAUGACCUGCAUUGGUACCUGUUUUCGCUAACUGGAAGAAAUGUGAAGAGGAUUUUCGCAGUUAGGA